AGGGUUAAGCCCCCCGUUCACGCCCGUUAUGGGUGGGGAAACACCGCACACCAGCGGAGUCCGCGGCUCCGAAAUGGAGCACGGGGAGAACCCGUGGCUACGGUUCAGAAACGAUACGUCCACCGCUCGAUGGUGAUGAUGCGGUGUGGAGUCUCCGGCAACGGGGGCUCGGUAACUCGUUGAAGAGAGCGGUGGUUGCGUUGAAACGACCGUCCCGCGGGGUGCAAGGCUGGGGGGUGGUGAUUAUCCGCGGAGCCCCCCUAGCCCGCUUAGUCUAAUACGGGGGGUUUACAGAAUGCGGGUUAUGGCUUAACCCU
rnacentral:RNase_P_RNA from 1 species